GAAAUGCGAUAAGUAAUGCGAAUUGCAGAAUUCAGUGAAUCAUCAAAUCUUUGAACGCAAAUUGCACUCUCGGGUAUGCCCGGGAGUACGCUUCUUUCAGUAUCGGUUCUAUCUAAACUCGUCUGCGUUUUUACGAACAAUGACGGAAAUUGAGUGUCUCACUUUUCUCGAGUGAGUUGCUUGAAAGGUAGAAGCGGUAGUU
rnacentral:misc_RNA from 1 species